UCUUGAAGAAAUCAGGAAAAUGCUAGACGUGGUGUAUAGCACUCAUUAUCUAACUUUGGCUCAGACUUGGUCCUUAUGUAGGCUUUGCAAUGCAGUGUUCAGAAAAUAUAGAACCUGUCAUAGAGAGGGACGUAUGGGUGAUUUUUUAGCUGCAUAUGCUUUACAGCACCUACGAAAAGGGCAGGGGGUUGUUGGGAGAGCAAUUUCGUCCCAAAAUUUGGUAUUCUGCAAAGAUGUUACUCAAUUUAGCAUAACUGAGUACCCUUUCGCACACUACGCACACAAAGUUGGACUUACAGGUUCUUUUGCAAUUUGCUUGCGAAGUAGUUAUAUUGAAGACAAUGUUUACGUGCUAGAAUUCUUUUUGCCCCCAAACUACAUUGAAGGUAGGGAUUCGAGGAUUGCUUUGGUUUCGUUAUUGACAACAAUGAAGCAGCAUUGUAAAAGUUUUAAGGUCACUUCUGGAGAAGCAGGAGAAGAGUUAUCUGUUGAAGUUCUUGAUUUUUCAAAGGACGGUAAACUUUAUUCUUAUCAAAUACCCCAAACUGCAAGAUCUCAAAAUAAGAUGGAGAAUGGAGAAGAGACGAUGUUUCUAGAUUUAUCCGAUCAACAAUUGCCCAAAGUGGAUGCUAUAGACACUGGAAACAAUGUUGUUAGUAACACAGAAGAAAACAACAUUGUUUUUACUUCCUCACAGCAAAAACUCAUAAUUAACUCGUCCCAGAGGCUAUAAAGAAAAGAUGGAAUUCCAAUUAGCUUGGAGAAGGACGGAAAACUUGAUUCUUUUAAACAACCCCAAACUGCAAGAUCUCCAAAUAGAAUGGAGAAUGGAGAAAAGAUGGUGUUUCUAGAUUUGUCCGAUCAACAAUUACCAGAAGUGGAUGCUAUAGAAACUGGAAACAAUUUUGUUAGUAACACAGAAGAUAACAACAGUGCUGUUACUUCUGUACAGCAAAAUUGCAUAAUUAACUCGUCCCAAAGGCUACAAAGAAAAGCUGGAAUUCCAAUUAGCUUUGAGGAUCUCCAGCAACGUUUUGGAAUGAAACUUGAAGAUGCUGCAGAAAGCCUUGGCGUUAGCCGAUCUACAGUGUAGCGUGCUUGCAGGGAAUACAAUAUCACCAGGUGGUCACCUUACAAGAGAAGUAAGGAUAACCAAUUGCUUUCCAAUAAACUUGUCCAAGGUGUUGUUCAGGAACAAAUCCUAGGAUCUAGUCAGCCUCCAAUUUCUGAUCCACCUCAUAUGCAAGACAUGGCUACUCCUUCUUGCACAAAGCCACAUUUUACAACAGUGCAAGACGCAAGUA